AUACAAGUCAUGCAGGGAUCUUGUUAAAAUGUAGAUUCUGGUUCAGCAGCUCCGGUAUGGAGUCUGAGAUUGUGCAUUUCUAACAAGUUCCUUGGUGAUAUCAAU
rnacentral:pre_miRNA from 1 species